rnacentral:RNase_P_RNA from 1 species
GAGGAAAGUCCGGGCUCCAUAGGGCAGGGUGCCAGGUAACGCCUGGGGGGGAAACCCACGACCAGUGCAACAGAGAGCAAACCGCCGAUGGCCCGCGCAAGCGGGAUCAGGUAAGGGUGAAAGGGUGCGGUAAGAGCGCACCGCGCGGCUGGUAACAGUCCGUGGCACGGUAAACUCCACCCGGAGCAAGGCCAAAUAGGGGUUCACAAGGUACGGCCCGUACUGAACCCGGGUAGGCUGCUUGAGCCAGUGAGCGAUUGCUGGCCUAGAUGAAUGACUGUCCACGACAGAACCCGGCUUA